rnacentral:rRNA from 1 species
CCAGACUCCUACGGGAGGCAGCAGUGGGGAAUUUUGGACAAUGGGCGAAAGCCUGAUCCAGCAAUGCCGCGUGAGUGAAGAAGGCCUUCGGGUUGUAAAGCUCUUUUGUCAGGGAAGAAACGGUGAGAGCUAAUAUCUCUUGCUAAUGACGGUACCUGAAGAAUAAGCACCGGCUAACUACGUGCCAGCAGCCGCGGUAAUACGUAGGGUGCAAGCGUUAAUCGGAAUUACUGGGCGUAAAGCGUGCGCAGGCGG